GAAAGCUUGGAGCACAGCCUUAACAACUGUCCUCCAAGGCCAGCUCCCCCACUGCAGAGAACCCCAGCAUUGCUCUGCCUAGGAAACACCCUGAAGACCCUCCGCAGCCUACACCCUCAGCUGGUAACUUUCUGGCCUCCACAGCCCACACUGUCAAACUGGGUGGGGUGGGGCUAGUCUGAGGCUCUGCUUCCCAGGCAGAGAGCAUGGAGGAGCACACAUGUCUUUCAGGAUUGGCUGGAGGCCUCAAAGGACAAAGCUACGGGUUACCAUGAUCCUGCACCUGAAGAUGUCUAUGAACUUCAGGAUGGAUGCCACGAUGCUCAGUGAACUUCAAACCAUCCCAGACUUCCCUUAGUGUGAACUCUGCUAAUACUUCACUUGGGGAACACGCCCAUCCAGCAAGUGUAAAAACAAGCCGUAAAGCGAGUAUGGUGAUGCGACUGAAUCUGCAGAGCUCCUCCUUUGUGGCCAAGCAUGGGAGAAUGGUUUCAUCGAGUGUCAACCUGGGCUCAGACUGUCUGAGGGUCAUGACUUAAAUUACAUGUUUGUGUCUAAAUGGGUACAGACGCCCACAGAGGGUGUUGGAUACCCUGGACCUGGAGUUACAGGCAGUUGUGAUCACCCUUGAUGUGGGUGCUAGAAACCAAACUCACUGCAAGAGCAGUGAGUGCUCUUACAGGCUAAUCCAUCUCUCCGUGUCUGCAGCACCAGCAAGCUGGAUCAGCAGUGCAGCGGUUACACACCACGGUCUCUGCAUUAAUCAUAGCCUUUCCCCCUCAUCUCCCCCUCUCCUGUAGGCCAUGGGCUCUGACACAGAAAUUUAAAAUAGGACUCAUCAGUCUGCCACCAAGACUAGGAUCUAAUUCUUAAAAAGCACCUCCCCCCUUGAGGAUUAGGAUGCCCAGAUGAGCCUCCAGAGGAAGGGUUUAUCUCAGUAAUACCAAGAAUUGGCUAUACUUGAAAGGGCAUUCUGAUUUAGCUUAGCCAGGCAUGAGAUUGUAGAACAAAACGAAACCUAAACCCACAAGGAUUUGUGCAGCUUAGAGCCAGUGAGCUACUUAAUUAUUUGAAUUUAAAAUAAGAAAACACAAAACCUGGCAUUGGUGGUACAUAUCUGUAACCCAGAACUCAGAAGGUGGAGGCAGGAGGAUAUGAAGUGAAGACCAGACCUAAUUACAUAAUACGAUCUGGAAUCUAAAUAAAUUAAUAAGUGAAUAAAUGAGUAACAUAUGUAAUAGGGUGCUCAUCUUUGUGAAAUCACAGAAUAUGGGCCCGUGCUCGGUGGGUAAAGACACCUACCAAUCUGCGUUUGCACCCAUGUUGGGGAUAGCUCGGACCUUCAUAAGCACCAUGUAGUACCCACACACCCACACAUAAAUACACAAGCAAUUAAAUUACAGGAAUAAAAAUAAUUAAAUUUAAAAAAUCAAUUUGGUAGCACUUGGAAGGCAGAAAACGUAUUUAUUAUUACUUUAAAUCUUUGGGCGGGAGUGAGCAGGGACUGAGGGAGCAGAGUUGACCGGAGUAAGAGGGGCUGACCAGAUCCAGCAGAGGUAUUAAAAGUCAGUUCCCAACAACCACGUGAAGGCUCACAACCAUCUCUACAGCUACAGUAUACUCAUAUACAUAAAAUAAAUAAAUAAAUAAACCUUUAAAAGAUUAAUAAUAAAAAGCAAAUGAUGACAUAUAUAAUGUAAAACAUGAACACCCUCUGUCACUCGCUGUCCCUUCUCAACCACCAUAGUCCCUGCAGCUUGGUGUCUUCCUCCUAAUCUCUGUCCACAAAUUCUGUAUCUAUUUAAUAAAUAUCUGGACAUAUCUAAAA